GGAGGAAUACCCAAGUGGUCGAAGGGGGCGGUUUCGAAAACCGUUAGGGCGUUAUGCGUCGCUAGAGUUCGAAUCUCUAUUCCUCCGCCA
rnacentral:tRNA from 1 species